GACGAACGCUGGCGGCGUGCUUAACACAUGCAAGUCGUACGGUAAGGCCCUUUCGGGGGUACACGAGUGGCGAACGGGUGAGUAACACGUGAGUAACCUGCCCACAACUUUGGGAUAACGCUAGGAAACUGGUGCUAAUACUGGAUAUGUGCUCCUGCUGCAUGGUGGGGGUUGGAAAGCUCCGGCGGUUGUGGAUGGACUCGCGGCCUAUCAGCUUGUUGGUGGGGUAGUGGCCUACCAAGGCGGCGACGGGUAGCCGGCCUGAGAGGGUGACCGGCCACAUUGGGACUGAGAUACGGCCCAGACUCCUACGGGAGGCAGCAGUGGGGAAUAUUGCACAAUGGGCGCAAGCCUGAUGCAGCAACGCCGCGUGCGGGAUGACGGCCUUCGGGUUGUAAACCGCUUUCAGCAGGGACGAAGCUUUUUGUGACAGUACCUGCAGAAGAAGCACCGGCUAACUACGUG
rnacentral:rRNA from 1 species